GACUGCCACCUCAAGUGGUUGGAGGUGGAGAAAUAGUGUGUCUGAGAAAAGGAGUGUUUGUUGAUGUUUCUGAUGCAGUCUGUCAGAGUGAAGAAUCUGAUCUUGGUGAGUGAUUUGUGUAUGCUAGAUUUUGAAGUGUGUGCAACUUUAUGCCGUGAACUUGUACAGCACAUUGGCAAUGUGUGUUCACCUCUCCAGAUUUCAUCAAGUGUGCUCAUAGUACUUUCUAUACCAAAAUGCUUUUACACUUUUUUUUUUCUUUUUUUUUUCAAUAAUCUGCUGGGAAAUAAGAAUACUUCUGUAUCUUUGAUUUAGAUAUGUUAUACAAAUAACAUAAACUGCCAAGUGAUUUUUUUUUUUUUAGCAGGGGCUGUCGAAUCUUAACCUGCAAGAUGAAGCUUUCAAAAAUCAAAUAAAACUUUAAUACUGAGUUUUAAAAGAAAAUACAUGCAGGACAGUGUUCACACGUUGAGAAGGCAAUGGCAAAUAGAAAACCUUCACCACAUGUUUCAGUAGCUUAGAAAGUGAAUGCAGAGUGCUUUCAAGAGUGGAAUAUUUAAAAAUAGGACUUUUCCUGAGUUAUAUUUUCACUGAAAAAGUUUUUUAUGUUGUAUUCAUUUGUAAUACACUUAACUCUCUACAUGAUGGAGGAUUGGGUGACACAUAGUGCAAUUUAUGAUACAUGUAAAGCAGGUAACAACCAGUGUGUACUAGGAACAUACAGAAUAUAUACUACUGGUUUUUCCUAAUUUCUCUCCAGUUGUUCUGCUUCUACUAUAACUUUUCUCUGUGGUUUUUUUUUUUUUUUUCAAUUUUUUUUCAAAAUUAUUUUUAGUGAUAAAAUGCUAGCAUGGUAUCAGAUUGCAAUUAUGGUUAUGAGAAGAAAAUGAAAUUUUUUUUUUUUUUUUUUACUUGAAAGAAAAAUAUUUUUUCAAGUUGGGAAAUUAUUGGAAAAAACUCACUAAAUAAUAGGAAUUUGUCACAGCAAUGGAGAUAUUCCAUUCCUGUUGAAAUCUUCACCACUUAAGAUUUUGAUGUCCAGAGCUGGUCUUUGAGGUGAAAAAUUGAGGUUUCAUUUCCUGGAGCCUUGGCCAUCUGGGAGGGCAGUUAAUUUAAGAGCUGUGCAGAUGAUCCUGUGGGUAGAUAAGCUCAUAUCUUAUGUUAAUGUUGGGGCCAACUGAAAUUUCUGAUCUGUGAGACAGAAGGAUGCAUCCUUCAGAGUGCCAAAAAGCAUGGCCAUUAAGACUUCAGUUUGGGAUCUGGGAAACUUCAGUGAGUCCCUGCUUUUAAUCAGCUACAUUUUUAUUCAGACCAGGAACUUAACUUAGGUCCUCACAUGACCUACAUGGCUUCUUAGAGCAGAGGUGAUUCUUUCGUGUGCAAUAGUUCUGGAACACAUCAAGGAGAUGAAACGAGCAGUGCUCAAAUGCUUAAUCCCUUGUGUGGAACUGCUCUUUUAGGAAAGGUCAAGAGGGGUACCCUACAACAGGCCUAUGGUAUUCAUUUUUGGAUAUUGAUGAACCAAGAAAUUUAAUUUAGAUCUUCUAAGCCUAGUACCCUCAACAUCAGCACUUAGGAUGGUAUGACACAGCUCACUUACAUACUCUUUCUCUUGUUCAAAGCAAAUUGGGUUUUCCAUUGUUGAAAUCUGGAAAAUUAAAGCCAAAUUCAGGAUGUUUUGUGAGAUGGGAAACAGUUUUCUCCCCAGCUCUAUUUUGGAUUGGGAUAAGGGAUUUACUCUUUUAGCAGAAGACCUUAUUGCAUAAUGCAUGAUGCUGUCUGGUACUAGAACCAAACAUAUUUAUCUGCCUUUCCAGACCCAGAAAUAUCUUCCUAAAGGUGAAAACUGUUUUAUUUUUUUUUCCUGUUUCAAUAUUCAUCUCUUCUCUUAUCAUUCCUAACUACCCCAGCCUUAACAAUGCCAAUUUGUUCCUUCCAGUCUUAACACAGAGUUGUUUUAUUUUCUUGAUGUGUAUAGAUGACACAGAUUUUAAGUCACGGACUUUAUUAGAAAUAAUUAAUCUAGAUACAAUGGAAUUUAAAAAUGUGCAUUAUAAAGGAAAUUGCAUUUUCUUUACAUUUCUUUAAAUUAAUCUCAUUUGAUUUAUAGCCUUACAUCCUAGAAAGACAAUUCUGCGUUGACCACAACUUGAAUCUAAUUAGCAAAUUCCUGUAGUAUAGAAAUGCAUUCCACACAGAGUAGCUUUUAUAUUUAGCAGGUAAACAGUAUACAUCAUGGACUAAGGAUCUAAAUAAGAGUACAAGACAUUGAGAGGUAAGCAGUUUAAUAAUUUUAAAAUAAUUUUUCUUUUUAUGUGUAGCAAAAUGGAAGAAUGCUAAUAUGUAUAUAUAUUUAAUUUUCAGUUUUGUUUUGAUUUCAUCUUGAAGUAUUAGAAAGUUCUCAAAGAGCCUAUUUGAAACAAAAUUGUAGCCGCUGCCUUGAGGGCGUUAACUGCCUUCAGUUGAAUUUAUACAGCUUCAAGGGAGGUGAUGGAGGACCAAAUAUCUUUUUUUUUUGGAAAAAAGACAUGAAGAAAAAGAAUUGCCCAUGGCCUCAGAUGUGGUGCAAAUGUAUAUGCGUAUAUAUAUGUGUGUAUAUAUAUAUAUAUACAUGUAUAAAACCAAAGGAGGAAUUAAAGUCAUAUUACUACUGUACUUGUGCACUUCUGCACAUCUGUAAUUAGAAACUGGUCUUAACAGAUAUUGAGACAUAGCUCCAUUUUUGGAAUGUAUUGGCACAAUUGAUCAACCAGUUUACUUGCUCAAAUGUAAGGCUGUCUCUCAAACUGCCAAAACAGACUGUAGAGAAAAUUGGCAGAAGAUGCUGUGAACAAGGCCUGGAGUUUCAUUUAUAGUAUUCAUGGUGUAAUGCCUGCAGAUACUUGUUUCUAAGGACUUUUCCCCUGCAUUGAACUCAAGUGAAGAAUAGCAUGAAAGGAAACAAGAAAAAUUGAUUGCAACAUGAAUGUCUACAUUUCACAAAGCCAACCAUGGCACAUCAACAAAGAGACUGGAAAUUUGUAUGGUGACGGAACACAUUACAGAAUCACAGAAUGGCCCAGGUUGGAAGGGACCUCAAGGAUCAUGAAUCUCCAAUCUUCCUGCCACAGCAGAUGCAGAAGUAAAACCUUACGUUAAUAUGCACUUACUGAACAUCCUAAUUGGAGUCUAAAACAGCUAUUUGAGAUCUGAUAUUUGACUAUUCUACCAGACUGAAGUCACCCAUCUCCUUGUCUUGUCCAACUCCACCACCUCCUGGAAAACACAUUGAGCUUGUAUGUGUCUUCUAUUCUGCUGAUACCUAGUAGAAGACAAGAAAUCACAGCUUGUCCUCAAAGAGAAGCUGUUUUUUGUGAUUUUAACUCUAUCCAAACUAUGGAUGGGAUAUGGAAUGAUCUGGAAGGAAGUGGUGUAACUUCCUGCUGAGACCUGAACUGUGGAUACCUAUGGACAAUUUUGCCAAUGAGAUGUACUGAUGUGCCUGGAGCUGUAAUACCUUUUUCUUUUACCUGGGCUUGUCCUCUGACAGCUCCAUGAGUGGUGGCAUUCCCCUGAGAUUUUCUCCACCCAUCUCAAUGGUGUGGGAUGUGUAAGGAUGGAAUUCA